UACGAAGGGGGCUAGCGUUGCUCGGAAUUACUGGGCGUAAAGCGCACGUAGGCGGCUUUCUAAGUCGGGGGUGAAAUCCUGGAGCUCAACUCCAGAACUGCCUUCGAUACUGGAAAGCUCGAGUCCGGGAGAGGUGAGUGGAACUGCGAGUGUAGAGGUGAAAUUCGUAGAUAUUCGCAAGAACACCAGUGGCGAAGGCGGCUCACUGGCC
rnacentral:rRNA from 1 species